rnacentral:rRNA from 1 species
GACGAACGCUGGCGGCGUGCUUAGCACAUGCAAGUCGAACGGUGAAGGAGAGCUUGCUCUCCGGAUCAGUGGCGAACGGGUGAGUAACACGUGAGUAACCUGCCCUUGACUCCGGGAUAAGCGUUGGAAACGACGUCUAAUACUGGAUACGACUUCGAACGGCAUCGUUCGGGUGGAAGAACUUCGGUCAAGGAUGGACUCGCGGCCUAUCAGCUAGUUGGUGAGGUAACGG